UAAACAGGAUUAAAAUUUUGUGCUUCCACAGAAAUUUCAGAGACAGAAACGAAAUGUGAAAAUGACAUGAGGUUAUGCAGGAGUCUCUGGUGGAUGUGGGUGUGGCCAUUUUGAGAGUUUUGUGUCUUCAAUUACCCCUUUUUCUUCAGUCCCCAGGUCAAACUUUGGUUGAGUGCUCCUCUUCCACCUCCUUUUUUGGAGGCAGCCUAGCACAGGUCUCAGCUGCGAUGCCUGAGGAACAGAGUCGAGGAAAAGCGUACGUGCUCCCAUUGCAAUUGGACUCCAUUCUCUGCUGGGAAGUACGUUCCUACUUGCUAUCCUCCUAUCUGUGCUGUUCUGUAGUCAACAACUUAGCAUAAACUGUUGAUGAAGUACAACAUGAUGAAGGAGAUGAAACCCAUUUCAAUGAGAAGAUAGCAAGACUGGCAACCAUCACUUCUCAAAAGGUACUAACAUUUUAAGCAAGUUCUUUCUUUACUUUUCAAACUUCAGCAGAGUGCAGUGUGCUUAACUGUCAACAGCCACAACUGAUAGGCUUUGGUUGCUGCCAUUUGCUGUCUUUCAGCUGGCACCAGUGUUUGCAGUCAGCCAGCUCAAUGUAAAUUAUCAGUGGAAAUGGGAGGCCCUGUUCCUGCAGGUAAGUGUUGAUCUCAUCUGACAGGCUGUGGUUGCAGGUGGCUGUUCACUGCCAAUGGAAACCUGUACCGUAUGUGACCUGAUCUGAGCAUAAUAUAUGAUUGAAAAACCAUGCUGAUUUAUAUAGUAUUAGUAGAUGAUUUAUCAUAGAUCAGGUUAUAACUAUGGAUAUGUUUAUAACCAGGUAAAUAUCUAAUGAUGUUUUCAAUAGUUUUCUGCUCUUGAAUCUGUUAAAUUCCACAGGUUAAUGAUAAUAUAUUAUCAUGCACAUAUGUGCUUACUGGUAGUCUUUCUUCAAAAUGAAGGAGCAAUUAAAUACCGACACUGGAGAAAGAGGGGCUGGGACCCUGCAGCUGAGACCACACAAAAAAGGCAGGAGAGAAUCGGAGAAGUGUUUUAGUGCCACGUUAGGAAGCAUCAAACAGAGGGAGCUUUUCAGAGAACUAGGUUGAUUUGUGAGUAAAGAAACUGCCUGCUCUUGUAUCUGUUCCUUAUAACAUGGGAAAUGAAAAGGGGUGUAUUCUCUCUGAAUAGGAUUGUAGCUGGACUUUCUUAUCAACUUUUACAGGUGAAGAACCCAACUAUUGGCUAAUUAUUUGAGCCAAAAAGAAUGGAGAUAUUUGAGUACUUUUUUUUUUCUUCUUUCAAAUAUAGUCUCUGCUUUUUUUACUGUAUGUGCCUUUGUCCCUUUUCUUUUUUUGAGAGAGAGGAAAAUACAAAUGU
rnacentral:lncRNA from 1 species